CUGUCUAUAUAUUUAUCAUUCUUUCCUUCUCUCUCUUCAAAUACAAAAAAGAAAAAAAUAACCCAUAAACCUCCAUAACCACCACACUCCGGCGACCCACCUCCGGCCACCGCCUGACCUCACGCGCCGGACUACUCCGACCUCCUAGUGCCGGCGACCUCACACCCCAAGCGGCGCCGCUCCUCUCGCCGCCGUUAGCUUAGGAUCGCAAGUCAAAGUUUGGGGUUUCAAACUUUGAACGGGUUUUCCGGUCACCUCCGGCGUCCGUUUGACGAGAGGUUUUCACCACUACACUCAGCUCGUCGAGGAGAACAACCUACACUAAACCAUUUUUCCCGGUUCGCAACUUUUUCCGGUGACAUUUUUGUAGCUCCGCCCCUUUCCGGCGACUUUCCGGUGACCUCGUGUACCGUUUUGACAAACGGUCGGCAUGAGUGUGAUCUACUCGUUGAGGUGGUCGUUUUGAUAUAUACUACUCCUAUUUUCGGCGACAUUUCCGGUACACCAAUUUUUACCGCCACCGAUUGUUAAUGUGCACCGCUUAGGUGAGAGUAAUAUGUAAGUUUGGACUAAACAAUGGGAGCUCGGGACUUGAGAGCUUAAGAUCGUCUUUUGGAAAAAGUUUAACAACUCGGGAGAGGAACUCAGUUUGAUGCUAGUGGAUGAGGAUGGUACUGUUGGGAAAGGAAUGUCGUUAUUAGUUUAGUCAUAUUUUACUCUUUCACCUUCUAAUGAGACUGAUUUUGUAUUUAAGAACCAAUGGAUGGUCUAGAUGACUUAAAUUAGCUAUGUACUAGUUAGAAAUGAGAAAUGAUGGAUGCUAGGUAUUAUUUUGGUAUUUUAUGGACUUAUUAAAUCUAUCUAUUUGGUGAUUACAUAACUGUGGGGAUAUUACUGUUCUCUUAUAUUGAUGAGUGGUCCUGAUUUUUUAUUACUAAUAUAUUUUUAUUAAUAUAGGAGUUAAUCCAUUCUUUUAAAUUAGUAUUUUGUAAUAUAAAUAAAAGGAUCAUUUAUAAGCUUUAUUUUCCUACAAGGGUCAAAGUGUGACCUUUGACCACCCAAGUUAUGGAUAUUACACAUCUGCCACAGCCUAGGGCUCGGGU